GAAAUAAGGCAUUCAAGAAAAGACUUCUAAUUUUAAUCUUAAGCAGUGAAAUUCUGUUUUUAUUUCU
rnacentral:tRNA from 1 species